rnacentral:rRNA from 1 species
GAUGAACGCUGGCGGCGUGCCUAAUACAUGCAAGUCGAGCGAACAGACGAGGAGCUUGCUCCUCUGACGUUAGCGGCGGACGGGUGAGUAACACGUGGAUAACCUACCUAUAAGACUGGGAUAACUUCGGGAAACCGGAGCUAAUACCGGAUAAUAUAUUGAACCGCAUGGUUCAAUAGUGAAAGACGGUUUUGCUGUCACUUAUAGAUGGAUCCGCGCCGCAUUAGCUAGUUGGUAAGGUAACGGCUUACCAAGGCAACGAUGCGUAGCCGACCUGAGAGGGUGAGCGGCCACAAGGGAACGGAGACACGGACCAGACUCCGACGGGAGGCAGCAGGAGGGAAUCUUCCGAAAGGGGCGAAAGCUUGACGGAGCAACGCCGCGUGAGUGAUGAAGGUCUUCGGAUCGAAAACCUUUUUUAUGAGGAAAGAACAAAUGUGUAAGUAACUAUGCACGUCUUGACGGUACCUAAUAAGAAAGCCACGGCUAACUAC